CUCUUCAGUAAUAGUAAAUUUCUUGCUCUUUCUCUUAUCUCCUGCUCUUUGUUCUUUCUUUACCCGUGUAUAAUUGAGAGAGAGAAUCAUCUUCUUCCUCUUCUUAAUUUUCUUCUUUUCCUCUUGCUCUUUCUCUUUCCUUUUCCAUCCGAGUCUCUAAGAGACGAUCGUGGGGAGAAGGGAGAGCCAGAAAGUGAGGGAGAGGGGAACACUGAGAGGAGAGAAUCGGAGAGGUGAUCUGAAAGAGAGACCCGGUUUCCCCUUCCUUCUCCCUAUCUCCUUCUUCUUCUCUUCUUUUUUGAAACAGAGAGGGAAACCGAGAGACCCGUGAGAGAGUGAAAAAGAGAGAGAGGCAGAAUCGAGAGAGAGAAAGAGAGACGGAGAGAAAGACCGAUUGGUGAGGGAGGUCCCCAGAAGGAGCGAAUCCGGCGGACCCGUGCGUAGAGCCAACGAACGGAAACCCGACCGGAAGCCCGAUUUCCGGUGGGACGACGGCAGGCUGACGGCGUCGUCCAGUAGUCCAGUGACGAUUUCCGGCCAAUUUCGGUGGGUCAACAGCGAGUCAACAGUGGGUUGUCGGAGGAUGCGUUUCCCGAUGAGAUUGGAGGCGAUUUCCGGCGGUUCUGGCUGGAAAUCCGGCGACUUCCAGUGGUGAUUUCCCGAUGACGAGCUAAGAGACUGCGGAACUGUUGUUUAAUAGACAAAGAUUAGAGCUCAAGAGGUCUUAAAGCUAAGGAUACAUAGUUUGUAUUUUGUUUGUAGUCUUCUGUGUUUAUAACAUUUUAUGUUGACAAGAUUGCUAAUGAUUUCCAUGUAUUCCUUUGUGUUACUAUUGACACUUGUUUCCAUGUAAUUGUUCUAAGUGUUUACUUUAUAAAUGUCUAGAAGUAUUCCAGUUAGAA